GAACGCUGGCGGCAGGCUUAACACAUGCAAGUCGAACGAUGAAGUCUAGCUUGCUAGACGGAUUAGUGGCGAACGGGUGAGUAAUACUUAGGAAUCUGCCUAUUAGUGGGGGAUAACGUAGGGAAACUUACGCUAAUACCGCAUACGACCUACGGGUGAAAGGGGGCGUUUAGCUCUCGCUAAUAGAUGAGCCUAAGUCGGAUUAGCUAGUUGGUGGGGUAAAGGCCUACCAAGGCGACGAUCUGUAGCUGGUCUGAGAGGAUGAUCAGCCACACUGGGACUGAGACACGGCCCAGACUCCUACGGGAGGCAGCAGUGGGGAAUAUUGGACAAUGGGCGAAAGCCUGAUCCAGCCAUGCCGCGUGUGUGAAGAAGGCCUUUUGGUUGUAAAGCACUUUAAGUGGGGAGGAAAAGCUUGUGGUUAAUACCCAUAAGCCCUGACGUUACCCACAGAAUAAGCACCGGCUAACUCUGUGCCAGCAGCCGCGGUAAUACAGAGGGUGCAAGCGUUAAUCGGAAUUACUGGGCGUAAAGCGCGCGUAGGUGGUUAUUUAAGUCAGAUGUGAAAGCCCCGGGCUUAACCUGGGAACUGCAUCUGAUACUGGAUAACUAGAGUAGGUGAGAGGGGAGUAGAAUUCCAGGUGUAGCGGUGAAAUGCGUAGAGAUCUGGAGGAAUACCGAUGGCGAAGGCAGCUCCCUGGCAUCAUACUGACACUGAGGUGCGAAAGCGUGGGUAGCAAACAGGAUUAGAUACCCUGGUAGUCCACGCCGUAAACGAUGUCUACCAGUCGUUGGGUCUUUUAAAGAUUUAGUGACGCAGUUAACGCAAUAAGUAGACCGCCUGGGGAGUACGGCCGCAAGGUUA
rnacentral:rRNA from 1 species